AGGAAAUGCUCAGGGGCAAUAUUGUCCCAAUAUUAAAACCGGAUAAGAACCCAGAGAAAGUAGAUAGCUAUCAGCCAAUUUUAAAUGUAGAUAUCAAGUUAUAUGCUGGAAUAUUGGCUGAGUCAAACAAAUAGUCACACACAUAAUACAUAGAGACCAGGUGGGAUUCAUUCCAGGACGACUUUCCAUUAACCAAAUAAGAAACAUGAUAGAGAUAAUGGAACAGGCAAGAGAGGAAUGUAUACCCAUGCUGACCCUGGGAUUAGAUGCAGAAAAAGCAUUCGACAGG